GAUGAAGAACGUAGCGAAAUGCGAUACGUAAUGUGAAUUGCAGAAUUCAGUGAAUCAUCGAAUCUUUGAACGCAUAUUGCGCUCUCUGGUAUUCCGGAGAGCAUGCUUGUUUGAGUAUCAGUAAACACCUCAACUUCCAUAUCUUUUUUGAAAUGGGAGUUGGACUUGAGUGAUCCCAACGCUUUUCCUCACCGAAAAGUGGCGGGCUACUUGAAAUGCAGGUGCAGCUGGACUUUUCUCUGAGCUAUAAGCAUAUCUAUUUAGUCUGCCUAAAAAACAGAUUAUUACCUUUGCUGCAGCUAACAUAAAGGAGAUUAGUUCUUGUGCUGACUGAUGCAGGAUUCACAAAGACAGGCUUCGGCCGACUUUGUAAACUCGAUCUCAAAUCAAGUAAGACUACCCGCUGAACUUAAGCAUAUCAAUAAGCGGAGGA
rnacentral:misc_RNA from 1 species